UACAGAGGGUGCGAGCGUUAAUCGGAAUUACUGGGCGUAAAGGCGCGUAGGCGGUUAUAUAAGAUUGAUGUGAAAUCCCUGGGCUUAACCUAGGAACUGCAUCGAUGACUGUAUGGCUGGAGUACUGUAGAGGGUAGUGGAAUUUCCGGUGUAGCGGUGAAAUGCGUAGAGAUCGGAAGGAACACCAGUGGCGAAGGCGGCUACCUGGACAGAUACUGACGCUGAGG
rnacentral:rRNA from 1 species